GUUUCUAGUGAGCUAAUGUUGGAUACAGAUCGAGUGUUGUGGCGAAUCAGCACAUGGCUCAUUUAAAUAUUAAAAUUAGCCAUGUGUUGAUAGGUCACAACACGAAAAUGUAACCAAUGAAAUAACUUAUUUUGACACACAUUUUAAGCCAAUAAGUAUUAAACUAACAAGGUAAUGUGUCAGAAGGUGGACUGUUUUUGUUAUUUUCUCAAAAGGAGGACAAAUGAGUGUCGGACUGCAGGACAGGGCAUUUAAUUGCGGAAUGUAACAAAAAAGGUUACAGAUGAAUUAGUUAUCUAAUAUAUAAUAAUAUAAUUAGUAUCUAGUGCUCACAAAAUAGUAUCUAGUGCAAUGCUCAGAUGAGCCUCUCUGUGUAUGUACAUAUUCCUACAACAAGUUAGUUUUGCAGCCACAAUCUUGCAGUGAAGUUGUCUAAAUGGCAUAUUUAAUUCAUUUUGAGGAAUUCCGCACAAUCCUGUAGAUAUGUAUUGUCCACAAUAUCCACUGUGUUUUGCUAGCAUGCUUGAAGUUGACACGUUGAAGAUGACUAAGAAUUCAGUAUUUGCUCUUUGUGAAAUCCAAAAAGGCUUGCUGCAAGAUAAUUGACCAUGUUUUUAUUUUCUUCUGUCCAACAGCUCCAGCCCAUAUUCCCUCCUACCUUUACCUCUCCUUGGCUUUUUCUAUAGUAAACCAACGGCUCUUUUAAGAGCCACUCCUCUACUGCACUCGCUCUCUUUCUCUCACACACGCUCACACACCCCUCUCUCUCUCUCUCUCUCUCUCUCUCACUCUCUCUCUCUCUCUCUCUCUCUCUCUCUCUCUAUAUAUAUAUAUAUAUAUAUAUAUAUAUAUAUAUAUAUAUAUAUAUAUAUAUAUAUAUAUAUAUAUAUAAUAUAUAUAUAUAUAUAUAUAUAUAUAUAUAUAUAUAUUUGUUUGUUUGUUUACCUGUCUGUUUGUCUGCGUCUGCCUUAAAUGGCUGAUCCGCGGGGCAGUGGGAAGGCAGCGGAUGCUCUUUUCCUAGCAGAAAAGUUACUGGCUGAAUAUAAAGAAAGGGAGGCAAAGAAAAAAUCUGCAUCCACUACACCUGCUGAAGGCAGUAAGCCUACUGUCCGAUGGGUGGAGAGAGAUGCAGAUGGACGUCGAAUCUUAAAAAGAAGCAGAAGUGGAGAGACACGGAAAAAACGUGCAUCGGCUACAGUUUCUGUUGCCCCUAAGGAGGCCUCUGCUUCUUUUGAGCCUGCUGAGGAGGUUCCUACAGUGACCCAAGACAACCGUUGUCAAUAUGUAUUUGGUUAUUGGCUGAAAUCUGGGAAUGCGAGGAGGAACAAACCACCAGUUUAGACAGAUUUAUUUAGAAGACAUACUGAAGGCAAACUGUAAAAUCAUAACCCACUGUUGAAAACCUAAAUCACAGUUUACACACAACUUCCUGGUUCAGCCUA